GGCCGCGUAGUGUAGUGGUUAGCACGCAGGAUUUUGACGCCAAAUUUCCUGAGACCUGAGUUCAAUCCUCGGCGGGGCCU